UACGGGGGGGGGCAAGCGUUUGUUCGGAAUUACUGGGCGUAAAGGGCUCGUAGGCGGCCAACUAAGUCAGACGUGAAAUCCCUCGGCUUAACCGGGGGAACUGCGUCUGAUACUGGAUGGCUUGAAUCCGGGAGAGGGAUGCGGAAUUCCAGGUGUAGCGGUGAAAUGCGUAGAUAUCUGGAGGAACACCGGUGGCGAAGGCGGCAUCCUGGACCAAUACUGACGCUCAUGUGCGAAAGCGUGGGGAGCAAACAGG
rnacentral:rRNA from 1 species